UGGGGAAUUUUGGACAAUGGGGGAAACCCUGAUCCAGCCAUCCCGCGUGUGCGAUGAAGGCCUUCGGGUUGUAAAGCACUUUUGGCAGGAAAGAAACGUCGCGGGUUAAUACCCCGCGAAACUGACGGUACCUGCAGAAUAAGCACCGGCUAACUACGUGCCAGCAGCCGCGGUAAUACGUAGGGUGCAAGCGUUAAUCGGAAUUACUGGGCGUAAAGCGUGCGCAGGCGGUUCGGAAAGAAAGAUGUGAAAUCCCAGAGCUUAACUUUGGAACUGCAUUUUUAACUACCGGGCUAGAGUGUGUCAGAGGGAGGUGGAAUUCCGCGUGUAGCAGUGAAAUGCGUAGAUAUGCGGAGGAACACCGAUGGCGAAGGCAGCCUCCUGGGAUAACACUGACGCUCAUGCACGAAAGCGUGGGGAGCAAACAGGAUUAGAUACCCUGGUAGUCCACGCCCUAAACGAUGUCAACUAGCUGUUGGGGCCUUCGGGCCUUGGUAGCGCAGCUAACGCGUGAAGUUGACCGCCUGGGGAGUACGGUCGCAAGAUUAAAAACUUAAAUGAAUUGACGGGGGUCAUAGCUGUUUCCU
rnacentral:rRNA from 1 species